GUCUUUAAAAAAAAAAAAGUCAGCCUUUUUUAUAGCAAUUGUAUUGCCACCGGUUUCGUGACCCCUCUCCUGGGCCUUGCUGCCUGGCCUCGUGACUGAUCCCUUUAUGCCGUCUCCCUUUCCCAACCCCCACACCCCAUGCUGCUGCCAGAGUGACUGUCCUUCAACCUAAGUGGGAUUGUGUCCCUCCCCUCCAAACAAACAAGCUUAAAACAUAAAAAGACCGCCAAUAUCAAGUGUUGGUGAGGAUAGAGCAACCAGAACUCCCAUGCAUUCCUGAUGUGUACCCAACAGAUGUACAUCCAUGAAAGCACCAAAGAUCAUCGUGCAAGAAGGUUGACAGCCCCCAACUGGAAACUACACAUGCUCAUUAAUAACUGUGAUAUAUUCUUGAAAUGCGAUAUUAGCAAUGAUAAAGAACAAACUGAAUUUAUGUAUAGCAGCAUAGAUGAGUCUUGAAACAUUAUGCUGAGUGAAAGAAGCCAAAUACAAAAAGUAGGGAAAACUAAUUUGUGGUGUUAAAGUCAGGAUAGCAGUUUCCCUUGGGAUUGAGGAGAUUCUGAAAGAGUGCAAAGGGGUUUUAGGAAUGAUUUGUAUUUUUAUCGGGCUGCUGUUUACAUAGGUGUGGUCAGUUUGUGAAAAUAUUUGCAUUUUGUGUAUGUUAUAUUUCAAUAAAAAGUGUAUGAAAACAUGCCCACCCAUACCACACACCAAAACAAAAUUCCUUUCUUAUUCCUCAUACCCAGAAGAAGCGUUUCCAAACCUAGCAGAACAGUUCAUUUCUCCAUGAUGUGACCCAGUCUAGCAGGCCACCUCCUUCCCACCUGUGGCACGUGUGCCAUCCACACUAGAUCACUUCCCAUUCUCCUCGCACAUCUCGGUGCCCUUGCUGUUGCAGUUCCUUCAGCCUGGAAUUCCUUUCUCUGUCUGGCUCCAUGCUGAAAAUGUCACCUCCUCUGUGCCACCUUCCCUGAUUUCUCAGACCAAACAUCUCUCCUGAUGUUGCAUUCCCACAGCGUAGUGCUUUUCCCUCUCUCAUUGCUCUUAGCUCUCUCUGCUUGCAUGUUUCCUUGACUGGAAAUAAACUUCUGAAGUUGUAGGAACAGUGUCUCAUUCAUCUAUGUAAAACCUCCUGGGGACAGUGCCUUGCCUACUACCAUGCUUGAGCUAAUAAAUGUGUGACAAAUGA